AUGACAAUGGAAGAGAUGAAGAAUGAAGCUGAGACCACAUCCAUGGUGUCUACACCCCUCUAUGCAGUCACGUAUCCUGUGUUUAAUGAGCUAGAACGAGUAAAUCUGUCUGCAUCCCAGACACUGAGAGCCGCUUUCAUUAAGGCUGAAAAAGAAAAUCCAGGUCUCACACACGACAUCAUUAUGAAAAUUUUAGAGAAAAAAAGUGUAGAAGUUAACCUCAUGGAGUCCCUUCUUUGUAUGGCAGCUGAUGAUAUAGAAGAAUAUAUGAUUGAGUGGCCAGAGCCAGAAUUCCAAGACCUAAACAAAAAGGCAUGAGCACUUAAACAAAUUCUGAGUAAGAUCCCAGAUGAGAUCAAUGACGGAGUGAGGUUUCUGCAGACAAUCAAGGAUAUAGCUAGUGCAAUAAAAGAACUUCUUGAUAUGGUGAAUAAUGUCUUCAAGAAAUAUCAAUACCAGAACCGCAGGGCACUUGAAUACCAAAAGAAAGAAUUUGUAAAGUACUCCAAAAGUUUCAGUGAUACUCUGAAAACAUAUUUUAAAGAUGGCAAGGCACUAAAUGUGUUCAUAAGUGCCAACCGACUAAUUCAUCAAACCAACUUCAUACUUCAGACCUUCAAAACUGUGGCCUGAAAGUUGG